GAUGAACGCUGGCGGCGUGCCUAAUACAUGCAAGUCGAGCGAACAGACGAGGAGCUUGCUCCUCUGACGUUAGCGGCGGACGGGUGAGUAACACGUGGAUAACCUACCUAUAAGACUGGGAUAACUUCGGGAAACCGGAGCUAAUACCGGAUAAUAUAUUGAACCGCAUGGUUCAAUAGUGAAAGACGGUUUUGCUGUCACUUAUAGAUGGAUCCGCGCCGCAUUAGCUAGUUGGUAAGGUAACGGCUUACCAAGGCGACGAUGCGUAGCCGACCUGAGAGGGUGGUCGGCCACACUGGAACUGAGACCCGGUCCCGACUCCUAAGGGAGGCAGCAGUAGGGAAUCUUCCGGAAUGGGCGAAAGCUUGACGGAGCAAAGCCGCGUGAGUGAUGAAGGUCUUCGGAUCGUAAAACUCUGUUAUUAGGGAAGAACAAAUGUGUAAGUAAAUAUGCACGUCUUGACGGUAACUAAUCAGAAAGCCACGGCUAACUUCGUG
rnacentral:rRNA from 1 species